rnacentral:lncRNA from 1 species
GGCCAGCCCGGGGAGGAAGAUGGAGGAGCCGCGGCCGGGCGGGCACCGCGGCCGUGCCAGGAGCGCGGCGGAGGGGCUGCUCUUGAUGGGUGGAAAACACCGCUUCUCGCUCUCCUCACGGCAUGGAAAAUACCGAAACACGCUUUAGGAGAAAAAAAUAACACAGCAACAACCCCCAAACAGCUGAGGAUUGAUGUAUCUUCAGGGAAGAAGCCGUCGCCGCUCGCCUGGCUCCUCACGACAACCUGCCCGCCAUUUGCUUAAUUAAAAGCAUAUACUUGAUGUGAUCAGAUGUGGUAAUACCGUAAAAAAAAAAACCCAAACCAAACCAAAAUACCCCGUAACAUCCAAACGCUCGUUGUUGGAGGCUGCAGCCAAGCUCGGCUGCUUAUUCCAGAAGUUUCUACAGGGGAGGGAGCACCCACUGCGGAGCCUUUGCCGCAGCGCCGGGAGGAGAUGCCGAGGAUGCGCCACCUCUCCCCUUCCCAAGCCUCCCCCCUUCGCUCGAUUUUCCCCAUCCUUGGGAAAAAAACGCUGCUGGGAGCGCUGGAAAUGUGGAGAACGCACCAAACGCACGUGGGGACAGACAAACGUAUUCUGGGGUCACUUCAACUCUGGAGGAGAAGCCCUGGGAUGUGUUGGUUUGGAGAUGCUCCUUGUGCUCACCGGAGGUACCAAGAAGCUGCUUGUUGGGGAUGUUUCCACGUUUUUGAGGUUGGCAACACCCCGUGGGACUCGGAAUUAACUUUUCUUUGGUAGUCGAGGACAAACGAGUGAGAAUCACCUUGGGAGCGCUGAACUUUUACCCCCCUCUCCUUCGGACUGAAGAGCUUCUAGAACUACAUCGGUGAGGCUUCCAAGUUAAACAAAACCUGAAUUCCCGCUGCCAAAAAGCAAGCGAGCGAUAGAAACCUCCACAUCUCCUCCGUGAGGGGGGACACCGCGGUCUCCCGAGAUUAUUCUGGUAUCCCCAAGAGUUAAAAAUGCUGCAUCGUGAGACCUGCGGAGGUCAAACGAAAGCCAGAGCUCACCGAGAAACUCUUCUCCGUAUCGCUCAAGGGGUUUUUGAGCAUAGCAGGUCUCCACGCACCAUUAUUUUUGUGUCUUUGUCAGGACCAAAGGAGCGAUAAUAGUGUGUUCAGUCUGCUUUGUUUAAAACACCGUCGAGUUGCUUUGCUAUCAAAAUGGUGUCUGGUGAAAGAAAAGCUCUGGUGGUGGCUGGCUCGGUGGUUAUUUUGUGCCAACCGAUCCCUCGUGGCUUUGGGCUGUGGGUUCGUGUUAAACCCUUGUCCUCCAGCG